AGACUUUCGAGAUGGACUUUUGAAAGAGUGUUUGAGGGAACUGUUAAUGCUGGCUGUACUGACCUGCAGAAGAUGGUGCAACUGGGUCUGAAAGGUGGACACUGCUGCCUCCGGACCGCUGUCAAAGCAAGAAUAUCACCGUGAAGCAGGCUGAAAGAAAAGCUCUGAAGGGAAAGCUAAGACAUUUUGAUGAGGACUAUGUUUCUUUCUGCUAUAAGGAAAAGCCGUGGAAACACACCCGGAUUGAAAUGCCCCUGGCCCGCCUGACCCGACCCUAGGAGAAGCAGCCGAGUUACCCGACAUCGUGGUCAGCAGGAGCUGGGUCGGUGGCUGGAUGCUGCAGCUGCAGGGACUCAGCGCCUGGGAGGGCUCCUGGGGCAGGGAGAGAAGCAGAGAUGCAACAUUUUUAAAGUUUCACAAAGCAUCCGGCUGCACCCAGGUCCCUGGAACAGGAGACAAACAGAAUUAAUGUUUUAUACCUUCGGGUAUAGGUUUGAGUUUUUUCCCCCUCAUGCCAAGUAUUUAAAACCUCUAGAAACCCAUGAUUUGACAAUCAAUGAUUGCGCGAUACUUUCAAUUUGAAUAUUCAAAGGCUUAACAAAAUGGACUAUCUUCUGCAGAAAUCCUGCACACAGGCACCCCACAGAGAGUCCAGAGAAACAGGGAGUGAGACCCCUUUGGGUCCUGGCCCUUGCUUUUAUUAUAUUUUGAGCAUUUUGUCCUCCUUCCCACAGAUAGAGCAGAUGUCCUCAAAGAUGCUCUGUAUUUCAGCCUUCAGGGCAGCUAAGAAGCCAUGAGUGACUUAGGCUGCCCUGGCCAUGAACACCGGAGCCAGACUGGCUGGCCAGACUGAUUCCCGCAUCCCCCAUCUGUGUUUUGAGGGGAAAUCUUAGGUUUUGAGGAAUGAACAUGGCAGCUAGUGGGUGUGGCACAGCAAGAAGUCGCUCUGGGCCCAGGUGGCAGGCCAGCGGCCUAGCAGAGGCCUUCGCUCUGCACCUCCUAUUUUUCUGGUUCCGCCUGGCUACCAGCGGGCUUUCCUCCCCCUUUCAUCCCGCUCUUCCUGGGCCCGACACUGGGGUUUCUGCUCAGAAUGACUGCCCAUUAAGACCCUUUGCUCCUCCCCACAGAGCUGGGGAUGCCAGGAGCCUCAUCCUCUGGAGACUUUCUGACUCUGGGUUUCACCACCGCACUGCGAAGUGCCCUCUUUGCUUUUUCGCCCGCUAGAGCCACCCCUGCCUUUUUGCUGUAGGAGCACAUGUUAGGAAACAAUGACAAGUUUGGCUCCUGCUCAUUUUAACUGAAAGGAUGUGGACUUAGGUUCAAGCCUUCUCCCAUUGGGGUGAGAAGGGGGAGGGACUUGGGAUCAGGCUUCCCCCUUGGUCCAGGCCCAAGCCCCUCACUAAUGACUUGGGAUUCUACUGGGUCAUCUUCUGUGAGUACUUACUGUGCCUCUUCCACGUGAUUUGGAAGGUGAGGAGACAGGAAUGGUCCACAGAGGGAGAGAGUGCCAGGCCAAGUCCUCUCAUAGCCACCCACCCCCUCCACAGAAGGGGACAGCAAGAGAAGAGAGAGGCAUGGUGAGGUUCCUUUUGCAAAUAACCAAGAUAUUUCCAGGAUUCAAGACCAGGCCAUAGUUUUAGGCCUCUGCUCUUUAUUCUCUGAGAUCUCAGAAAUGCAAAAAGUGUAGUUUAGCCCCAGAGGCCUCAAGAAAAAGAUUGGGGUGCCCCCAAAUGUGUCAAAUACAGAGGGAAACACACAGAGCUUAGGGAAAGGGCAACUGAGAAUGACAAGACUGAUAGGAAUUGCUUGGCAGCUGAAGCCACAUCUCUGGGGGAGAGGAGCAGGCCUGGGAACACCUGAGGUGGCACCUGGCAGUGGAGGGCAGGAUGGAUGUAUUGAAAUCUGACAGCUUCUGGAGCUUCUUUCUACAAAUGCCCCUGAGCCUGUGUCCUAGGUUUCCCUGAUGGACCAGACCUGAGGAGGGGAAGGACAAUGGGAGUGGAGAUAGCACCUCCCCUCCCUGAAUACCUUCUUCCCCGCUGUGCCUAGGCCUUGCCCCCUCUGAAGGAACAGUGAACCAAGCAGCUUGGAAUCUAGGGAUGGUCUCUUGUCCUCAUAGCGUCUUCCAUUACUUCUUUUCUUCGCUGCUCUCCUCCUUUUUGUUAUACUCUUAUUUUUUGAUUUGCUUUUAAAAAGCUUCUUCUUUGUUGCAUUUUUGUUUAUUUCUUUCUGUGUUUCUUUGUCUCUCUUCCUGUCACUGCUUUCUUCCAUUUCUUAUCUGCACUACUGGUUUUCUCCCUGGCUUCACGUGUCUCUGUGUUCCCCUGUGCUGGGGUGUCCUCCCAAUGCUUUCAGGCUUCAUCUCCUUCCUAACCUCUCCUUUCAUGUGGAGAUGGACAGGGAUGGCAGGAGCAUUGAGUGCUCUUGGCAACACCAUUGAAGAUGAUGCUGACGAUCAGCUACCCUGUGAAGAAGGCAGGCCAGGCUGGGUGAGAGGGGAGCUCCUUGGAAGUCAGGGGGUCUGUAAGGACAGCAAGGAUCUUUUUGUCCCAACCUCCAGCAGCCUUUAUGGGUGCUUCUGUGUUGGCCUUGUUUCUGGGAUGGCCAUCUCAGUGCUGUUGCUGGCUAGCGAUUUCAGAAAACUAGAUUUGUCUAGGCCUGAGCCCUGUUUUGAGAAAGAAGCUUCCCUCUGGUUUGUAGCCCAACGUUAAUGAGUUUUGGUUCCUGUUGUUUCUAUAAUUACAAAACCCCAGCACAGGUAUUUAAGAGCCAAAGGCCAUGCUUGUGGAAGUAAGGGAGAAUCUUUCUAAAUGGAUCCUGCAAAUCCUCCUUACAGAUCUGAGUGGAUGAUCAGGCCCAGAGCAACCCUGAGACCCCAGGUACCCACAGCAUUGGCUGUUCUUCAUAGGAGACUCAGAGAAGACUUCAUAGGAGACUCAUUAUUGUUUACUGGACAUCAGGUGCUAUAUUGUAUAGCAUUCACAUUCCACAGGUGAGGAAACAGGCUCAGAGGAAUAAGUGGCAUGCCAAGAUCAUUGAGUGUAUCAGUAGCAGAAUUAGGAUUCAGACUUUGAUAGGCCUAACUCCAAAGCCCUGGCUUUUUUUUUUUUUUUUUGAGAUGGAAUCUUACUCUGUCACCAGGCUGGAGUGCAGUGGCAUGAUCUCAGCUCACUGCAACCUCUGCCUCCUGGGUUCAAGUGAUUCCCCUGCCUUAGCCUCCUGAGUAGCUGGGACUACAGGCAUGCACCACCACGCCCAGCUAAUUUUUGUAUUUUUAGUAGAGAGGAGGUUUCACCGUGUUGGCCAGGAUGGUCUCAAUCUCUUGACCUUGUGAUCUGCCUGCCUCGGCCUCCCAAAGUACUGGGAUUAUAGGCAUGAGCCACCAUGCCUGGCCUUUGCUCUUAACUACUGAUGUUGUCUUCCUGAUCUUUUCUACAAGAAGCUUUUAAACUUUUUGGACUUUAACCUACAAUAAGAAAUCCGUUUUACAUGUUCAGAUUUAUCUAUAACAACAUUUAUAUUUCUAAAACAAACUUUUCAUGAAACAACAUAUACCUACAUAUGUCAGGCACUCUGAUAUUUUCUAUUCUAGUCCACCUUUUCCAUUUCAUUCUAUUUAUGGGAAAUAUAUGUUGGUUGGGAGUCACUGAGUUAAUUUAAUGACCCACUAAUAGGCUGUGAGUGGCAUUGGAAAAAUACCUGCUUGUAAGAUAUGCGAACACACGUUUCAAGGUUGUUUGUGCAUGUGGAAAUAUUUUGGGGUGCUAUCUGUUUUACCAUCAGUUUGUACAAGGACACUAAGACAGUGUAGCCUGCUGACUUGAGAAUGUUCUGUAAGGACUGGAAACACUAGAAUCUUGAAGAAACGCCUGGCUAGAGGUGAAAGUAAGCUGUUAAUUACACUGAUUACAGUUUGUGCCUCUCAGACUGAGAACUCUUUUCUUCUUGCUGCGGGCAUUGCUACCUCUAGGAUGUUUGCCCUGAAGUCCUGAUAGUCUCUUUGGGGUUUUAAUAAAUGGCUGAAAAAAUCGUUGUGGGGUUUCAACAGGCGUUCAUAGGCACCCUUGCUUGGCAAUAUAACAUGACUUUUGAUGUUUGGGUGUUGGAAGGGAUCUUUGAAGUGCUGAGAGGGACUCAGUCUUUUUCCAAAAUCUCUGCUUGUGUCUGUCCAGCCUCUGGCUCCACUGCUUGGCUGAGAUCCUGGCCCAUAGUAGAAUAUGUGUAGAGGAAACGAGAGCUCACUAUUUGUGAGGCAGCCUGUUCCACUAUUGGACUGCUUUAAAUGUAGUGAUCAGUGAUUAUGCUAUAAUCCAAUCAUGUAUUAAUUGGGCACCAACUAUGCACUAGGCAUGGUAUCAAGUACCAGGAGUACAAAAAUAAGUAAACCUUGAUUUCUGCUAUCAAUUACUCUCUUCUCCUACUUCUGUACUACUGCUUUUCUAUUGUGAGUUUGUUUAGUUCAUUAAUUGGUUUAUUCAUUCAUUCAACAAUCAUAUACUGAUUAGCUACUCUGACCAGGUCCAGUACUAACUCUAAAGAAGUUAUGCCCAUCCCAUCUUCACCCCAAGCCUUCUCCUUUUGAGACUCCUCAUCCAGUUUCUUUAGUUCUUCAUAUAUCACUGUUUUUCAGAUCUCUGGCUAUCCUUGCCAUUGACCUCAGAAAUCCUGUAUUUGACCUUAACCUUCUUAUACCCAGUCCAUACCCAAAGUGAUGGAAAUGGAAUAGAUUUCUUUUUAAAGUUUUAAACGAAUAUUUUGACUGAAAAAUUUUGGCAGUCUUGUAUGCAAAUGACACUGCAGAGCAUUGUUUUCUCCCCCCCACAUAGGAGAUUUUAUUCAACUUAGGCACAGGCAUAUUAAAAGACUUUCAGUAUAAGGAAAAGGGGUAGUUUAUUCCCUCCAAAUUUGACUACAGCUCGAAAUUGUCUUUAUUAAUGCAAAGUUCUUUUGUCACCUUGACUUUGGGACACUGUUACCAAACCUUGUGGGAAAUAUCAAGUUCCAGAAGAUUGAAUACAUGCAGGAAACAAAUGUUUUUUGGGCCCUAGAGUGAACAUUUGGUCCAUAUGAAAAUGACCAGGAAGACAAUUAGGUGAAGGUUUUUUAAUGAUUUGUGCUACGUCAGUCUCUUCCCAUAAGACAUAUUCAAAGUUUUAACUUUUCCUUAAGAGGCUUCCAUGGGGAGCAAGCAUUUGAUAAUUCAUCCUUUAACUAAGAAAAACACCACCGUACACUGCUUGAAGAGUUCCUCUUCUAUUACUUAAAACGUUUUUAUUGUGCAACAUUUAAGGCAUACAAAAACAUAUAAAGAAUACCAUGAUGAAAAUCUAUGACUGUAUUACCAAGCUUAAGAAAUAAAACAAUUGAGUGAUCUCUCAUUUAUGACUAAAUUAACUUAUUAAAACCAUUAAAACUUUUGGAUUAUUCCUGUUAAGAUAUUUUCUUUUUUUUAUUAUUAAGCUUUAAGUUCUAGGGUACAUGUGCACAAUGUGCAGGUUUGUUACAUAUGUAUACAUGCACCAUGUUGGUGUGCUGCACCCAUUAACUCGUCAUUUACAUUAGGUAUAUCUCCUAAUGCUAUCCCUCCCCCCUCCACCCACCCCAUGACAGGUCCCGGUGUGUGAUGUUCCCCACUCUGUGUCCAAGUGUUCUCAUUGUUCAAUUCCCACCUAUGAGUGAGAACAUGCGGUGUUUGGUUUUUUGUCCUUGCAAUAGUUUGCUGAGAAUGAUGGUGUCCAGCUUCAUCCAUGUCCCUGCAAAGGACAUGAACUCAUCCUUUUUUAUGGCUGCAUAGUAUUCCAUGGUGUAUAUGUGCCACAUUUUCUUAAUCCAGUCUAUCAUUGUUGGACAUUUGGGUUUGUUCCAAGUCUUUGCUAUUGUGAAUAGUGCCUCAAUAAACAUAUAUGUGCAUGUGUCUUUAUAGCAGCAUGAUUUAUAAUCCUUGGGUAUAUACCCAGUAAUGGGAUGGCUGGGUCAAAUGGUAUUUCUAGUUCUAGAUCCCUGAGGAAUCGCCACACUGUCUUCCACAAUGGUUGAACUAGUUUACAGUCCCACUAACAGUGUAAAAGUGUUCUUAUUUCUCCACAUCCUCUCCAGCACCUGUUGUUUCCUGACUUUUUAAUGAUCAGCAUUCUAACUGGUGUGAGAUGGUAUCUUAUUGUGGUUUUGAUUUGCAUUUCUCUGAUGGCCAGUGAUGGUGAGCAUUUUUUCGUGUGUCUGUUGGGUGCAUAAAUGUCUUCUUUUGAGAAGUGUCUGUUCAUAUCCUUUGCCCACUUGUUGAUGGGGUUGUUUUGUUUUUUUCUUGUAAGUUUGUUUGAGUUCUUUGUAGAUUCUGGAUAUUAUCCCUUUGUCAGAUGAGUAGGUUGCGAAAAUGUUCUCCCAUUCUGUAGGUUGCCUGUUCACUCUGAUGGUAGUUUCUUUUGCUGUGUAGAAGCUCUUUAGUUUAAUUAGAUCCCAUUUGUCAAUUUUGGCUUUUGUUGCCAUUGCUUUUGGUGUUUUAGACAUGAAGUCCUUGCCCAUGCUUAUUCCUGUUAAGAUAUUUUCUUAGGGGGAAGUUUAGCAGGUAUAUCUAUCAAUUUUCCUAAUCCAAAAGAGCUAAUUCCUAGAUACUGUAUGUUUGGUCCACAUUUCAUUCCUCUUGGAACUUCUAACAUUUUCUACUGUUCUUUUUUUAAAUUGUACUAACAAUGACAUUGCAUAUUACAAAUGCACGUAUGUUAUUUAUCAGAGAUUAUAAUUAGAGGAUACUUUUUUUUUCUUUUUUGAGACAGGGUCUCAUUCUGUCUCUCAGGCUGGAGUGCAGUGGUGCAAUGAUGGUUCACUGCAGCCUUGACCUCCUGGGCUUGAGCAAUCCUCCCGCUUCGGCCUCCCAAAGUGCUGGGAUUACAGGCGGCGUGAACUGCCACACCUGGUCAGAGGAUACUUCCAUAUCAAAAAUCAAAUAUAAUAUAAUGCCAUCAUUUGCAAAUAACUAUAGAAUAUUUUAAUGUUUAUUUAGCUUGACCUUUGGGGAUUCUUGUUCCUGAUUUAUUUAUCAUACUUGUUUUAGUCACACCAGAGAUAAUGAUCAAACAUUAAAUAACUUUUAUUUAUAAGAUUUCUUAGCAACAGAUCAUAGUACACGUACAUACUAAAUGAAUAUAUCAACAUUUUUUCUGUGCUAUUUCAAAGGUUCAGUAAUUUUAUUUCAUAAAGGUAUCUAAAAAGACUAAAUGAGUCAUCUUAAAUAUAUUACCACUAAAGCCCAAUGUCCACCUACUGUCUGAAUUUGGAGAGAGUAUGGCUAAUGUUAGAUACUAAACAUGGUGAGAAUCCUCUCAGAUACUGGUUUCAGAGAGCUGUCACCCAUAGAACCAAGGGCUAAAAAGUUACUCAUCUUUAUGGUAUAAUUUUACUUCAAUCUAACAAAAAUUUACUGAGCAUCUACAGUGUUCUGGGCCUCGAGCCAGGUGCUGGGACACAGAGGUGAGCCACUCAUGAGUCCUCCCCAUGAGUCUCUUUAGCUGGAGAACCACUUUGUCUAGAGUGUGUGAUUUUGCACUUAACCUCUCUAGAGUCUAUGGUGUGUGAGAUGAACAGUGUAAUAUUGUUUUGCAUAGAGAGGAUACUGUAGACAGAACCCUGUGAUGGAGCCUUAAGUAAAGAGUAUAAUUUUGGUGUGUGGUUGGUAGAAUCACUAUAAUGUAAUGUGACUUAAACCUUAGACAUCAAUCAUUAUUUUGGUACUUUAAAUAUAACUGAUGUUUUAUUCCUUGUGACUACAUUAUUUAGAUAUUUACAUUAAAUAUCGAAAAACUGAUCACAAAGAUACUAUAAUACUUUUAUACAUGUGUGUACGUAUGUAUAUAUGUAUGUAUGUAUGUCAAUGUAUGUUUUACUAUUGGCAUUAGUAAUUAUUUUCCCUUUAUGCAAUUUCUUUUAGAGUGCUUCUGUCUUCUCCUCCUACCCAAUAGUACCAUGAAAUUGUAUUAUUAACUGAGCUAUAGCAAGUCAUAAUGAUCAUUUGAAAUCAUUUAUUAAAUAAAUGAGGUAAAGAUGUA
rnacentral:antisense_RNA from 1 species